rnacentral:rRNA from 1 species
AUUGAACGCUGGCGGCAGGCCUAACACAUGCAAGUCGAACGAGUGGCGGACGGGUGAGUAAUGUCUGGGAAACUGCCCGAUGGAGGGGGGUAACUACUGGAAACGGUAGCUAAUACCGCAUACCAUCGGAUGUGCCCAGAUGGGAUUCGCUAGUAGGUGGGGUAACGGCUCACCUAGGCGACGAUCCCUAGCUGGUCUGAGAGGAUGACCAGCACCACUGGACUUGAGACACUGCCCAGACUCCUACGGUAAGCAUCAGUGGGGAAUAUUGCACAAUGGGCGCAAGCCUGAUGCAGCCUGGCCGCGUGUAUGAAGAAGGCCUUCGGGUUGGAAAGUCCUUUCAGCGAGGAGGCGUUACUCGCAGAAGAAGCACCGGCUAACUCCGUGCCAGCAGCCGCGGUAAUAC